rnacentral:tRNA from 1 species
GCCGCCGUGGUGGAAUGGUAUACACGGGGGACUUAAAAUCCCUGCUCAUUACGAGCGUGCUGGUUCGACUCCAGCCGGCGGCA